GACCGCGGACGGAGGGCCGCUCUUCCCGCGAGGGAGGGGAGGAACUUCCGAACUUCACAGGGCAGGGUGCCGGUUCAAAGCCGCUAAGCGGCCAUAGGCCGGGAGGCGGGGGCGAUAUCCCCCGUCGACGGACAGCGCCACAGAGAACAUACCGCCCGCAAGGGUAAGGGUGAAAAGGUGCGGUAAGAGCGCACCGCGCGCCGGGCGACCGGCGCGGCAGGGCAAGCCCCUCCUGAAGCAAGGCCAAAAUCGCGCCAUGGACUGCCCGUCCGCCCUUCGGGGCAGCGCGGAGUGGGCCGCAACAGAUAAAUGGUCCUCCAAGCGCCGAAAGGCGCCGGACAGAAUUCGGGGUACAGUCCGCGGUCUGAA
rnacentral:RNase_P_RNA from 1 species